rnacentral:rRNA from 2 species
CUUAGGCCCGCAUUGUAAUUUGCAGAGGAUGCUUCUGGCGAGGUGCCUUCCGAGUUCCCUGGAACGGGACGCCAUAGAGGGUGAGAGCCCCGUAUGGAUGGACACCAAACCUGUGUGAAGCUCCUUCAACGAGUCGAGUAGUUUGGGAAUGCUGCUCUAAAUGGGAGGUAAAUCUCUUCUAAAGCUAAAUACCGGCCAGAGACCGAUAGCGCACAAGUAGAGUGAUCGAAAGAUGAAAAGCACCUUGAAAAGGGGGUUAAACAGUACGUGAAAUUGUUGAAAGGGAAGCGCUUGUGACCAGACUUGCGCCGGGCAGCUCAUCAGGGGUUCUCCCCUGUGCACUCUGCCCGGCUCAGGCCAGCAUCGGUUCUUGUGGGAGGAUAAGAACGGUAGGAACGUGGCCCCCCUCCGGGGGGGUGUUAUAGCCUGCCGUACGAUACUCCCGUGGGGACCGAGGUUCGCGCUCCGCAAGGAUGCUGGC